AACCGGUGCAGGUGUCUCUGUGUGUCUGUCUGCGGUGUUGAUGUGGCCAGCUCGACAACGCCCCCCCCCGUUUUCCUCCUGAGAUUCACAGGGGUACUCUCCCACCACGCUUAGAAAGGGGACAUAGGCACGUACAUAUGCGCAUGUAGGGAUGUGAGGUCGCCCCCCACUCAGCGAAACAAGAGCGCGAAUCGAAUGCGCUCACACACGCACACACACGCACACACACACAUAGACAUAGAGACGAGCGAAAGAGAGCUCGGCUUCAGCGAAGUGAGCGAAAAAGGCGUCUUUGGGCGUUGGGUGGAGAGGAUGGAAGGCUCGGCGGAACGCGGCUCCCCAGCACGUACCAAGCGCACGGCCACCGCCACCAUCAAUGGCACCCCCACAUCCUCGUCCCUCGGCAUGCCGUCGAGCUUUCUUGUGCAUCACACUGCUCACCUGCCAGCCCGUGCGGCCACGGGUCGGCCAAGAAGUCCCGUUCCCUCGCAGCAACCACCACUGCUACGUCGUGUGUCUCCAUCCUACGCCCGAUCGCCCUACGCCUCACCUGUGGUCGCGCACACGGAUGCGGCCGCCUCCUCGUCCGCACCACUAGACGAUGCGUCGCGCAUGCCUCUCGAUUUACUGGAGCCAGCGGCUGCCCGCUGGGCAUCGACGGCCGGCCGUGGGGGUCGCCGGGCACCUCGCGUGCGCAGCACUCUGGGUCCGCAGAGCGAAGUCGUUGACACCGGUGUUUUUGUGUGCCCCAACACAGUUGUGGCCGCCCUUUACUCAGCUGCACCAGGGCGCGGCCAUGUAGUGGUGACCGCGGAGUCGGGUGGGUGGCUGCGGGUACGCGAGCAGCAGACUGGCGCCAUUCGCCAUCAGCAGCAACUGCGCGAUGGUGGCGAGGUGUCGUGCUUGGCGUGGGCGUCAGCAGCUGAUGACGCAGCGGCCGAGCCGUUCGGCGCAGUCGUAGUGGCUGGUCAGCUCAGCGGACUCAUUAGCUUCUACGUUCUGGUUGGGGAGUCGCUGGUGGAGCUGCCGUCCGCCACGUGCGUAUACCACGAAGCCCCGCUGCUGAGUUGUCUGCCGCUGCGUGCGCCGGCCUCGGCAGUAGAGCCAGCGUCGACGGCACCCGGCGCCUUCGCAGGCGCGUUGCUCUCGUUGGAUGCCGACGGCGUAGUGGCGCUGUGGUGCCUGCAGAUGGCUGAGGCGGGCGAGGGCGCCUGUCGAGGGGGUGAGGCAGACACGCGGCUCUCGGUGCUGCUGCUGGACUCCAGAUACGCUUCUCUGUCGCUGCCUGAGCGUUUUCUGGCCAACACGAGGGUUCAGGAUGCCGAGGAGGCAUCGCCGCCGUCGUCGUUCCCGCCGGUGGUGAUGACGGCCGCCGCUCUCUCACACCCGUCAACCUCCCCAUGCUGCGUGUUAUCGACGCACCGCUUUGUGCAGCCGCACGUCUCUGCGGCCGGUGCCCCAAGCCACGAAGACGGGGAGACGGAUGCGCAAGGGAGCGCCGUCGUGUUUCUCUCCCGCUUCACAACCUCUGCUGCUGAUGACAGCGCCCCUGCUGCCGACCCGAACGCCGCCGCGCUGGUGGCAAACAAAGGCACCUCGACGAGUUUCGAGGAAGGGGCACCCGUUCCAGACAGCGCGCAACCCCGGCUCUGCAGGGGGUGGGAGGUGCUGCGUGCGUAUCGGGUGCCCGUGGCACUCUUGCGGCAGGGGGGUGGUGUUGCCGGCGCUGCCUCCGCCGCCGCUGCACAUGUGGAUGUGGCCGUCACUGCCCUCUGCGUCACAGGCAGCACUGUGCCGGCGGAGCAACUGUGGGCUGGCACCGCUGACGGCCGUCUUCUCGUUUGGAAGGCACAAACAGGUCAGUUUCUGCGCUGCCUGCGCUCCGCCUCUGCGGCACCGGUGCACAGUCUGACGAGCGUUCCGUCGCCCGGUUCACCUGGGCAGGCGCUGGUAUGGGCGAGCCAAGCGGAUGGCAGCGUGGUGGCGUGGAGUGCAGAGACGUUCAACGUGGCGGAGGUACUGCCCAUCAGCUACCCACCACCCGGCUUACUGGAGAGUGGGAGGGGCCAUGCAGAGGACUCGAUGAGCGGCGGCGAUCCUGCGAACGUGGUGGUGAUGGUGCGCGACGCCGUCGACCUCCUGCGUGCCACCCGUCACCGCUGUGCUCCGUCGACGUCGUCGGCUCCGUGGCGUCGCGGCUGUGGUUUCACACUCUUUGUGAAACCUAUGGAUCAGGUUUGCAUGCAGCGCGCGUGGUCGGUAGCGACCGACGGAACUGUGCGUACGUGGCUGCUUCCUACCGGGAGCGCAAGCGCAGACGGCGCCAUGGCGGACACGGCUCCAGCGACCGUUGCUUCUACGCCGACAGGCAACGCAGAUGGUGCCGCCCGCGCUGCCUCGCUGGACGUCUACACCGUCCAGCGCUACUUGCAAGACCGAGCCGAUGAGUUGGUGCGUGAGCGGCAGGCGCAACGUCUGGCAUCGGAGGCCCAGCAGGAGCAGCUGCAGAUCCUGCAGGAGCGCAACAGCGUGUUAGCUGCCGCGCUGCAGCAGGCGAUCAGCCGUCUGGAGCGGGUGAGUGCGGACGCGCUUGUGAGGUCUGCGUCACAGCCGGGCUCGUCUUUAUCCACUGCGCCGUCACGGAACGAGGAUGGCGAAAAUGCGAUGCGGGCGGAGUCCACUGCUCCCUCACCAGGCACUCCCACCACCACAUCAACGACUACCCUCGCUGCUGCCUCUGACGCAGACGAACAGCUCGUCAUGGCAGCGCGACCCGCGACCGCUGUCGCGAUGCCGGAGGCCGCACCGCCUCCACUACCGCCCCUGGCGACGUUGCCACCGAUGGCGCGGAUGCACUUGAAGGUGCUUCAACAGCUUCUGGAGGAGCUGCACACCAAGCUCGAGGAGAGUUGGAGCCGCAACGAUGCUCUGCGCGAGGAGCUGCUAAUGUACCAGCUUCGCACGCUCGAUCAGGAAGAAAAAGCGUCGCAGUGCGUGCGCACGAUUGCGGCUGCCGAGGCUGCUGUGGCGGUCUCUACAGGAGGCGCAGAGGGGCAAGCCAGCGCGACAGGAGAGGUGACAGCGACGGCAAUGCCCACGCCUGCGCCGCCACCACUGCUCCCCGCGUUACAUACCGCUACCUCUCCCUUAUCCGUGGGCGCCGACAGCAGCUACGCACAGGAGGAGGAUCGCGCGCACAGCGACCGUCCGCAGACACCACCACCCCCGAAAACCGAUCACACUCCUAACGCGACGCGCGCGGCUGCCAUGGAUAACAGCACCCCGUCUCGCGUGCUUUGCAGCCCGUCCGUCGAGGAGCUGGUGCACUGGCGUGUGAAGCAGGCGCGACCGCUCACCCCGCCGCCGCCGCUAUGGAUGCCACCUGCUGAAAGUGCCUCCUACACACCCUCGGUGAAGCCACACGCCACGUCUCCAUCGCCCGUUGCGGCGAGGCUGAGCACCUCUACCGCAGCAGAGCGCUUCUUCAAGGCGGCAUCCGCCAUGCUACAUUCUUCCACGAUCACCUGCGGCAGCGCGACGAGGCGGGAGGGUAGCGUUGCGGGUCGGGCACGCGUGCCGGCGCCACCGCUGCUGCAGGCCACAGCGGAGGAGGACGUGCAAGCCGAGGAGGACGACUACGCCGCCGGCGACGGCGAGGACGAGCCAGCUCUGUUGGAGGCGUGGUGCACAUGUGAGGGCGAUCUCAGUCCGAUACCGAGUCCCGGCCUAGCAGCUGCUGGUGGUGGUGUGCCAUCUACGGAUGCGCCCGCCGUACGCGGAGGUCGGCACGAGCCGUUGUCAUCCUCGCUCUUCUCCUUCCCAUUUACGUCGGACAACUUCUCCGCAGAGGACACUGCUGGCGGUGGCGGCGGUGCUGUCGACCGCUCCGGUACACCUCGAGAUGCCUGGCCACCAGCACGUGGGGCGGCAACGUGGACAACGCCGGCGCCUGCUGCAGGGCGAGGCAAUGCAACGAUGGAUGAUGCGUGGGCACGGGCGCCGGCAGCAUCAUCUCGCCGACCCGGCUCGCUAGCCACUGGCAGUGCACCUCCAGCAGCAGUAGGAGUUGGUGUCGCUCGAAGAGCACCGAUGCAGUGCUCAAGCACAACGUCCGCCGCAGCGUCGCCGCCACGCACCUUUCGCUCUCCAAUCAUCUAUCGACAAGCGUAGAGCAUCUUCUGGAAGAGGGUCGAGGCUGAGAGCAAGGCAGGGGGGGGGAAGAGGGAGAGGGGGACCAGGACUGCUGCGGCUGACGCAGACCUCCACCGAUGCGACCUCCCUCGCCCGUUCUUGCGUUGGCGUGUGUGUGUGUCUGUCGCACUUGUGCACGUUGCUCCUUUCACGUCUAUGCUUUCAUUCUCCGAUGUGUGUGUGUGUACGGCACGUCCAUGUCUGCCCUUCCGCGUGCGACACCACAAAUGCCCGCAGAGAUGAAGGCAGCGGUAGUCUGAUGAGGAAGAAGAGCGGGUUGCCACGCCGUUGAAGGCAGCGUGCCUAGCGCACCGGCCGGUAGAGGGUUGCGAUGCACUAUAUGUUAAGGUGCAUAAUCGAAUAAUGCUUCCGGUGCUGCAACUGUGCAUGCAACGGUCGUCGAGACAAUGGGCGGAAGAGCAACGUGGGCUCGACUCUUCUCGAUGGACCCACUCCCGCAUACUCUGCGCGUGUAGACUUGAUGGUCUGGCGCUCGCACAGUUGCCGAUACGUCUUUCGGCCCAUCACCACCUGGAACGACUCGACGCGGGCACUUGUCCAUUUCCGCAUGUGCGCACACAUUUCUUUCUGCCUCUACCAGCUUCCGCUUCUCCACGUGCACACACACGAGGUGGGGGCGGGAGGUGCGGAGUGGUAUGGAGGAGGAUCACGGACGUCUGCGAAACAAGGAGAAGGGGAGGGGAUGGGGGGGGGUGCAGCGCAUCUGCGUUCUUCACGGCACGUGCAUGUGCGCGUGCGCAGCUCCAUGCACCACGGCUGUGUGAGCAAAUCGUAGACCUUUUCGUUGUGCUCUCCGUUGUCAAGAAGCUUUCACAUCCUUUGGAUCAUCCUCUGCCUGCCACAGUCUGCAGCGGAUGCAGACACCCACACUCCCGCCCGAAGAGGUAUACAACGAG
rnacentral:misc_RNA from 1 species